rnacentral:rRNA from 1 species
GAUGAACGCUGGCUACAGGCUUAACACAUGCAAGUCGAGGGGAAACGACGGGGAAGCUUGCUUCCCCGGGCGUCGACCGGCGCACGGGUGAGUAACGCGUAUCCAUCCUGCCUCUGACUGAGGGAUAACCCGUCGAAAGUCGGCCUAAUACCUCAUGGCAUCGUCUGCGGGCAUCCAACGACGAUUAAAGAUUUCAUCGGUCAGAGAUGGGGAUGCGUCUGAUUAGCUUGUUGGCGGGGUAACGGCCCACCAAGGCGACGAUCAGUAGGGGUUCUGAGAGGAAGGUCCCCCACAUUGGAACUGAGACACGGUCCAAACUCCUACGGGAGGCAGCAGUGAGGAAUAUUGGUCAAUGGGCGAGAGCCUGAACCAGCCAAGUAGCGUGCAGGAUGACGGCCCUAUGGGUUGUAAACUGCUUUUAUGCGGGGAUAAAGUGAGGGACGUGUCCUUCAUUGCAGGUACCGCAUGAAUAAGGACCGGCUAAUUCCGUG